UGCGGUAACCGGCUCCGCGCCUCCGGCCGCGACUGCGGGGGAAAGCGCGCCGAGCGGAGCAGCCGGGCCGCGUACCGCCUGCAGAGCGAGCGGCUCCCAUGCCUGGCGGUUACGGAGUGAUGGGUGACGAGGGCUCCAUCGAUUACAGCGUUCACGAGGCCUGGAAUGAAGCCACCAACGUGUACCUGGUAGUGAUCCUUGUCAGCUUUGGGCUCUUCAUGUAUGCGAAGAGAAAUAAAAGGAAAAUUAUGAGAAUAUUCAGUGUGCCACCUCCUACAGACACUCUGUCAGAGCCCAACUUUUAUGACACAAUAAGCAAAAUUCGUUUAAGACAGCAACUGGAAAUGUACUCCAUUUCAAAUUCACAGAGACAGAAAGCAGAAUCGUCACCAGGAGUGGGAGAGGAAGGAGUGGAGAGUUACUGUGUCAUGAGGACAGAGCACUUGACCUGCAGCAGUGUGGCCUCACCAGUGAAGGAGCAAAGGCUUUACUAAAGGCCCUUGAAAGCAACAGAACUCUGGUCGUUUUGGAUAUAAGAAAAAAAUCCACUUGUUGAUCAUUCUGUGAUGAAAGCAGUUAUCAAAAAAGUUCUCCAGAUGGAAGGAGUGCCAAGUCAGAGGCUCAAAGAUUUGGAAAGAGAUAGUUUAACAGAAAAGAUUUGUCCUUGGAGAACGGAGCUCAUGCUUUCAGUCGGGAAGUGAAUGGAUGUCUAGAAAACGGGAGCCAGACAAGUGGUGAGAAGCGCAGAGUGGAAAUAGCAGAGAAAAAGAAGUCCCCCAAACCUGUUUCCAAACUUUGCAUGCCCAGGAGAAGCAAGUCCGAUGGAGAAACAAAAUGCUCUCCAGAAAGCACGUGCAGAUACGCCCACCCCACCCUCGGACUCCGCGGGCCACAGCUGGAGGGACCAGCCAAGGAACCGAGGCAGGAAGAGGCCAGAGGUCACCGGGCCUCGGCCAGAGCCUGUCAGUCGGUCCCCUUUCACACACCACCAGACGAUCCUCUUGACCUGGGCAGUAGCCGCCAACCGGCCGCUAAGCCACGCAAAGGGGUGAAGCCCUGACACUCGCUGCCACGUGCAUGGACCCUGAGAACACGAUGCUCAGCGAGAGAAGUCAGACACAGAAGGACACACAGGGUGUGACCCUACUGAGGGGAAACGUCCAGAACAGGCAACUCUUGAGUACAUGUACUUAACAUGCAGGGAACCAGUCCUGACUCCUUGAUCUGGGGCUUCCAGCCUCCAGAGUCUCGAGGACAUCCAUUUCUGUUGUUCACGCGCCAAGUGCGUGGGCUUUGAUGAUGGAAGCUGACACCGAGGACGUUGCCACGUGCAGGGUGACAUCAGCGGAAGAAUCCCGUGGCAAGGGCCUGCCUGAGGACCACGCGCGCCCGGGCCCUCCCCGGCCCCUGCCCGCAGCCCCGCACCCGCACCCACCUGGGAGCGGAGCUGGUGCAUCGCUUGCCAGAACUCGUGGAAGUGGAAGGUCAGCCCCAGCAGCUCCUGGGAGAUGCCCAGCAGCCCGCGCGUGACCACCUGCGUGGGGAAGGACUCAUUGAGCAGGUCCUUUUGGAACCAGAAAUGGCGUGAACCGUGAUGGGCUCUAAGGCCAAGGGCAGGAAGAAAUGCGGCCAGGCUCUCCAGGAGCCACCCAGGGGCCUCCCCGGGCUGAACAAUACAAACUCGGCUGCAGUGCAGACAGCAGCUCAUCCCCACGGCGCCCGAACACCCAGCCCCUGGACGGCGAGACGCCUGUUGCUGCAGGUGGCCCGUGGCUCGCUGGUGAGGCCCGGCCCCAGGCGUACGCCACCUCUUCUGGGGCCACCUCUCCGGUUCUGCGGUGGGGUUCUCCUGGAAGCCCCCAGUCACCACAGGACCAACGUGGCCUGUCUGCAGCCCAAGAAGGUGGGGACACAGGACUGUCCCCCGUGCCCCCCACAUCACCCGCGAGGCCGAGCAAGCACCAGUGGUGUCUGCGGGGAAGACGAAGGGCUCGUGCACAGCCCCCAUCUACUGAAGAUGCUGAACGGGAGAAGCACAGACUGCAGCCACACGCGGUAUGGACCAAACACAAGUGUCCUUGCAGGAACCGAUGUCUGAAUGUCAAGGCCGUACCCGGGCCACAGUGAGAAGGCCCAGACCCCACGCAAGGCACAGAGAGGGGAUGGGGGGAACAUCUGCGAAUCUGAGCUCAUCAGGCAUCACCCCAGAGGGAGAAGGAGAAGGAGAGGGAGAGAGGCAGAAGGAGAUACGGAGGGAGAGGGAGAGAGAGGGAGGAAGAGACUUCUCUCCCUUCCCUGGGGGUUCUCUAGUGCAGCCAAGGCCGAAAACCACUGCAAUUCGGGAAAUGGGUCCUCGUAGAAAAGUUAAAUAGUAGCUCAUGGCAUUAUGGACACAUAAUAAAAAGGCCCAAAAUCUUGGGGAGUCAGGGAGGGGAGCUGGUGGCUGCCUCGUAAACGAGGAGAGAUUGGGCGUCAGAGAAGGGCCCUGUGCAGCCCGCCGCCCAGGGCCCCGUAGACUUCAUCUCCCAGCUGUGGUCCAGGGCUGGAAGUCAGCAGGGAGGUCAGGCCGUCCAAGCAUCAACGUUGACUUCAGGGCUGAUCUAAAAGGUGCCUGGUGUCUCUUGAAGCAGAAAAAAGAGAAAGCAGUGGGGAGAGCAUGGGAGGGGGAGGGAGCCCCCCUCCUCAGCCCUUCUCCCUCUCUUCCUCCCUCCCUGCCUCUCACUCUCCCUCUCCCUCCAUCUCUGCCUCUGCCUCUCUCUGUCCCUUCCUCUCCCUCUCUCCUUCCCUCUCUCCCUAUCCCUCUUUCCCUGUCCCUCUCUCCCUCCCUCUCUCCCUGUCCCACUUUCCCUGUGCCUCUCUCCCUCUCCCUCUUUCCCUCUCCCUCUCUCCCUCCCUCUCUCC